CUGGCCGUAAACGAUGAAUGCUAGGUGUGGGUGUAGAGAUACAUCCGUGCCGGAGCUAACGCGAUAAGCAUUCCGCCUGGGGAGUACGGUCGCAAGAUUGAAACUCAAAGGAAUUGACGGGGGCCCGCACAAGCGGUGGAGCACGUGGUUUAAUUCGAUGCAAACCGAAGAACCUUACCUGGGUUUGACAUGUACGUGGUACGGAGAUGAAAGUUGAAGGACUCCUCCUUCGGGAGGGGAGCGUACACAGGUGC
rnacentral:rRNA from 1 species